rnacentral:rRNA from 1 species
GCCUACGGGAGGCUGCAGUGGGGAAUAUUGGACAAUGGGCGCAAGCCUGAUCCAGCCAUGCCGCGUGUGUGAAGAAGGCCUUCGGGUUGUAAAGCACUUUUGUCCGGGAAGAAAACCCUGGGGCUAAUACCCACGGGGAAUGACGGUACCGGAAGAAUAAGCACCGGCUAACUUCGUGCCAGCAGCCGCGGUAAUACGAAGGGUGCAAGCGUUACUCGGAAUUACUGGGCGUAAAGCGUGCGUAGGCGGUUUGUUAAGUCAGAUGUGAAAGCCACGGGCUCAACCUGGGAACUGCCGUUGAUACUGGCGAGCUAGAGUACGGUAGAGGGUGGUGGAAUUCCCGGUGUAGCGGUGAAAUGCGUAGAGAUCGGGAGGAACAUCUGUGGCGAAGGCGGCCACCUGGACCAGUACUGACGCUGAGGCACGAAAGCGUGGGGAGCAAACAGGAUUAGAUACCCGAGUAGUCU